GCGCGGGUCUCGGAGCUCUUCCCACGAACCGCUUCCGCGGGGCUGGGAGCAUAACCCGGCUGCCCGCCCCACCACCUGGCCCCAUCCCUCUGUCCUCCAGCCGUCAGCAUCCGAAGACGAUUCGCUGGAUGUACCCUCGGGCCCCUGCACGGCUCUGUGAGCCACGGGGUCGUUCGGCUGCCUGUGCAUGAAAGCCCCAUACCGUCCCUGCCUGCCGGUAGCCACUUUCCUAUAAUCUCCAUUAUCUGAAGCACCCCGCGUGUUUUCGCUGCAGUCUCCGGGGUGAGCCACGCGCUGCUCCCCGAGGGCUGUAACAGCAUCAGCUGCUGUGGAGUUCCUUGCUUUGGUUUGUUUGGGGUUUAGAUGCUGCGGUUGAUUACUGUUUAUUAUCCCGGGUUUCUUUUAGAGUCAGUGACACUUCGAGUCUGAAUGCUUGUUAUUUACAGUUCUGGAGAGAGGCUCAUGAGACGUCCAAAUAAGCCCCGGUUAUGGAAUUGGAAACCAUCAUUUCCGUAGGCGUACAGGUACAUAUAUGAAGCCGGCGACGAUCCGAAGCCCAGCAGGAGAAACACAACGUGCAAAGGCACCAUGGAUAACGCAAAGGUCUAUUGUGGCUUCAUCAUCUUUCUUCAGAUCGCCGACCUACCGCGGGAGGCCGCCUACAAUUUCAGCCUCUGUCACCACGAGGAUAUACGAGAUGAUCUCCUAAAUGCUUUCGAUGAGCGCAUGACCUUCAACGAGGGGCCGCUGCUCGAUUUUCACACCUGCGAGGACGCGUCCGCGGGCCCGCACUUGUCCGAGGUUCGCCCGGGUGAACGCGGCCCCCGACGGCUACGUGGCAUCCCCAGUCCGUGCGGAGCCGAAAGAUAAAAAUAAAGAGGCAGAGGGGAGGAGGAGGCGGAGGGGU
rnacentral:lncRNA from 1 species